AAGCCCAAUCAUACGGCCUAUGUGGCUAAUGCUGGUUCGCGCAAGGCAUCAAGGCCUAAGCGCAAGAAGUCCAAGAAUGGAGUAGCUGCUGGACAUAUUAAAAAAGUGUCAGGAACUUCUCAGCGCGCCAAGAGGGGCAAGCGUGGGAAAAACAAGUCAAAAUUAGAGUGUUUCAACUGCGGAAAGAUUGGCCACUUCGCUCGUGACUGCACUGAGCCGAAGAAGGAGCGACCGAGCACAUAGCGCGAGAUAGAGUCGGAUUUGUGGAGUAUCGCCGGAUUCCAACUGGGAGCCGUGAUAUCAAGGUGGGGAAUGGAGCUAGCGUGGAGGUACUGGGACUUGGUACCUACAAGCUGGACUUGCGGGGUGGCCGCACUCUUUUCCUUCACAAUGUGCUAUAUGCUCCCGAGAUCCGACGAAACUUACUUUCAGUUGUUACUCUAUUGAAACUUGGUUUUCGAAUUGUAUUUGAAAACAAUUAUGUUUCCUUUCAUUUGGGGCAUGUGUUUUAUGGCAAAGCUUUUCUUCGAGACGGUUUUAUGAUAUUGGAUUUGGUUUAUUCUAAUAUAAAUGAAUCCAUUGCUUUUCUUUCUUCA